rnacentral:rRNA from 1 species
AAGGUGGGGGAUGACGUCAAGUCAUCAUGGCCCUUACGGCCUGGGCUACACACGUGCUACAAUGGUCGGUACAAAGGGUUGCCAAGCCGCGAGGUGGAGCUAAUCCCAUAAAACCGAUCGUAGUCCGGAUCGCAGUCUGCAACUCGACUGCGUGAAGUCGGAAUCGCUAGUAAUCGUGAAUCAGAAUGUCACGGUGAAUACGUUCCCGGGCCUU